GACUGCUCCGGUGGUCUAAUUGGUUAGAGCGUCCGCCUCAGAUGCGGGAUGUCCCGGGUUCUAAUCCUGGUUGAGUCA